AUGACUAUUGCGGGUAGGCAGGUUCUAGUUCGAGCAGUCUUAAGUGCAAUCCCUACUUUCGCUAUGACCGUGCUCCGUAUGCCGAAAAAAUUCUUCAAGGAGAUUGACAAAGUGAGGCGGCGUUUUCUCUGGGCACAAGAGGAGGAGUUGUCCGGGGGCAAGUGUAAGGUGAGUUGGUCCAAGGUGUGCUCUCCGCUGGACAAGGGUGGGCUCGUGGUCCUCGAUCUCGAGCGCUUCGGCAGAGCUCUCCGCCAAAGGUGGCUGUGGUUGACAUGGAAACACCCGGAGAGGCCAUGGGCGAGCAUGGAAGUGUCGUGCUCGGACGCGGACAAGGCGUUCUUCAGCGCGGCAACAUCAGUCAGAAUUGGCAAUGGCCGGACAGCUAGUUUCUGGUCCUGCUCCUGGCUGCCAAUGGGCACGCUCAAGGUGUUGUUUCCAACUCUUUACCAGCACUCAUGGAGGAAAAAUAGGACUAUGGCCGACGCCCUGCAUGAGGAUCGCUGGAUCCUGGACCUGGCGCAUGGACAGACUGAGCUGGUGGUGCAAGACUGUGUACGGUUGGCAAGGCUGCUGCGAACUGCUUCGAUCACCCUCAAUCCAGAAGCCGCCGACGAAAUCAGAUGGAACUUGGAGGCCAGCGGCUGCUACACGGCCUCGUCCGUAUAUCGAGCUCAGUUUCAAACAAACCACGGCUCCGUUUUCCCACAGCUCAUACAGUAG
rnacentral:rRNA from 1 species